UACGUAGGGUGCGAGCGUUGUCCGGAAUUAUUGGGCGUAAAGAGCGCGCAGGCGGUCGUUCAAGUCGAGUGUGAAAGCCCCCGGCUCAACUGGGGAGGGUCACUUGAUACUGAUCGACUCGAAGGCAGGAGAGGGAAGCGGAAUUCCCGGUGUAGUGGUGAAAUGCGUAGAUAUCGGGAGGAACACCAGUGGCGAAGGCGGCUUCCUGGCCUGUUCUUGACGCUGAGGCGCGAAAGCUAGGGGAGCAAACGGG
rnacentral:rRNA from 1 species